AUUUAUUUCUCAACAGGAUACUUGGGUUGGCUCUGACAUGGCCUGCCAAUGUAUUUUUAUUUGGAUAUAUUUGUUUCAAAUCUGUAUUUAGUUACUAAUUCAACUAAAUAGCAACAUAUUGGGUGGGAUGUUUUGUAGAGACACUGGCUUUUCUUCUGUUUUCCUGUUUGUUUAACACUUUGAACUGGUGGAUCAAGAACUUCUCUUCCACUUGUACUAGAAAAAAUUCACUUGUCUCAGACAAACACCGAUUUAUAUUAACAAGCCUGGCUUUGGAGCUUUGUGGCUGUGCUUUAUCUAAAACUUAUUUUUAUUGUAACAAUUAAGAAUAAAAAUGUUCACAGCUUUUUAAAUUCAAAUUUCUUGGGUAUGGCAGAAUUUAAAAUAGCAGUUACUUUGUUGUCAGUUCAGUAAUUCUAAUCAUUUCAGUCAUGUGCUAACUUUCAACCCAGUUAGCACAUAUUUGUGUCUAAUCUUGACUUCUUUUGGUACUUAAGGCUCACUUAUUGCACUGCAAAAUGCUGUGUGGGCCACACAACGGUCAGAAGUCAUUAGUCAUACUUGACACUGGUUACAGAAAGUGUUGGGAGGACUUUUGGCUCAAAAGUCAUGACUAGGUAUGUGACACCACUAUCAUGAGGCUACUUUUUAACGUGCGUUUUCCUUAUCCGCCCCACCUCAGUGUUUUCUCUCUCUGUAAAGCCGGUUCAUGAAUGCCUUAAACCUGCAUUACUUCUGAUGGCCAGCGAGGGGCAGCUUGUCUGGUUCCAUAAAAGAGGUCUAUGUAAAAAAUGAUCCUACUCCUCACUUGAUCUUAAUUAUUAAUAAAUAUGAUAUUCAUUUUGUAAACUAUCAUUUCCACUGGAGUCAAAAAUGAAGAUUGACAGUCACUGAGGAUGAGUACCGUAUCAGUGUCCUUCGGUACCCCUCAUUCCUCACAUCUGGUUUCAAAACACCAAGACUGCAAGAGCAAAAUGGUGGCUACCUUGACUGUUCACACAUCGAUCAGUCAGAAUAUUCUGACUGCUGACAGGUGAAGUGAAUACGGCUGAUUAUCUCUUCAUCAUGGCACCUGUUAGUGGGUAAGACAUAUGAGGGAGCAAGUGAACAUUUUGUCCUCAGAGGAGGCAAAACUUGUAAGGACGAGUUUGACAAGGUCAACCUGUGAUUGCUAGACUGGAAACUGCAGCUCCUGUGGGGGUGUUCCCGGUGUGCAGUGGUCAGUAUCUAUCACAAGCGAUCCAAGUAAAGAACAGUGAUGAACCAGCAACAGGGUGAGUGGCAAGCAAGGCUCACUGAUGCACGUGGGGAGCAAAGGCUGGUGGUCCGAUCCAACAGAGGAGCUACUGUAGGUCAAACUGCUGAAAAAGCCAAUGCUGGUUCUGACAGAAAGGUGUGAGAAUACAGCUUUUUAUUCUAUUGUUUGCUGUUUUGGCAGCAAAACGGGGACCGACGUAAUAUUACAAGUACAAGCUAGCUAUAAGCAGUAAGCUAGCUUUGCUUAUCCAUCUAUCCAUUCAUUUUUUUCAACUCUUAUUCCAACUGAGGAUGUCAAAGCUGACAUAGGGUAUACACUGAAGAUGUUUGCAGUCCAUCAAAACGGCACUGAUAGCUACAGAUACUGUCAGUUUAGAAUUACCAGUUAACCCAACAGGCAUCACUGUGGAAGGACAAACCUGCUCAGCACCAGAAAGAACCAGGCUCACGCACCAUCAGUAGUAUCAAGUCUGAAACCUUUGAUAGGCAUACCUAUCAAAGCUCAUUUAAAGAUGGCACAUGAGCUGUUACUUGGGCAACCGUAGCCUGGCCUUGUAUACAUCCUUGCUAUAAAGUCAGAAAUGGAGUGGCCUUGACAGGGGGGUUAAUCGAGGUGGACCGGCCCAGUCUGCACCCAGCCCAGUCUGUAAACAAUGGGGUGUGGAUUAGUUUGGAAACAAUGUGUUUAUUUAAAAAGCCCACUUCCUGUAUGGACUCAGCAAGUCUCCCAUUAAUUUUAUUGGCGGCGGCUCCAGUUCUGAAAAUCAUUGUUUAGAAGAGGAGGGAAAUACAAAACACACAAGGCAAAAAGGAACACUUUGCAUCUGUGUUUGGUUCCUGUGUGAUAGGACGACAGCAUUAAUAGAAUUAGUGCUAACUAUUUGUGUGUGUGUGUGUUUUUAAUCAUUUGCAAGGAUCUUAGCUUGAGAGGAAAAAACAAAUGAGAAAACAUUAGAUGUUUUUGUUGAGACUGUUUGGCAUUGGGGUUUCGUGCCGUACGUGUACAGAUGUAAGUUUCACGAAAAAGAAAGCGGAACAAAAAAAAGAAAGCCAAACAUUUUUUCUGCUUAGUCUAAACUGCCAUCAGCGGUCUGCAGAAUCUGCCUGCAGGGACCGAGAUUCAGCUGAGGGGCUGUGGAGCCCAGGAGCAACGCCCACCAUCCCGAACUGCCCAAAGCCACAUCCUGUCCAAAAGGAAAAGACUUGCACUUUCUCCUCAGGAGGAACACAUGAAUUAAUGUGAUCUCAAUUACCCAUAAAGCAGUCCUGCAGCAGGACUCGCACCUCGCGGCCUAAUUCGCCGUCCGCCACAUCCUGCCGUAUUCACGUAUUUCUUUUGUUUUUAACUUGAGCUGAUCUUGUGGCUGCUGUGGAAACUUCUGAGGCCUCGGGGAACAGGAAACAAACAAAACCUCCGAUGUGCCGUCACGCCAAACCAAUUUUCGAUACGGAGUAGGCCCGGUGGAGUUUAUGAGUUUAUUUCUGAGACUGACAGAUAUGAGGGGGGAUGAAAAGGCAUUAAGUAUAAGCAGUGCAACCUUAGCACAUCCAGACGCGUGCUCAGAGGCCAGAGAGUAACAGGUAAACUCGAGGGAGGGUGGUUAAGCCCUAGUUAGGCAUGUAAAUCCCACCCUUUACAGGCAAAGCGCUCCAGUAGAUCCCUGUCAAUUUCCUGCAGCUGUGCUUGGGAGGAUUUACAUGAAUACACUCUAUCACUAGCGCUUAGCCUCCUGUGUUAUACAUUCACUCACUUUUGGGUGGGUUGUAAAAUUGGUUAUUUUCCCCUCAGUUUUUCUUUUUGUCUUCCACGCAGAAAGAAUGGUUUUAUUUACAAGCCACCCACUGUGGUUUCUUUUGUAAAUUGACUCCUCAGUUUUGUCCACGGGCCAGACACAAGAAGGUUAGCUGCCUGUUUCCUGAUAAGCUGGCAGAACCUAUCAACCCCUAGCAAGAAGAUAGUGCUCUGUAUUUCUGUCAUGCUUUAUCAUCAGCUGGGGUGAAACUAAACCGGUGUUAAGCGAGAGUAGAGGGACCAUUUCCCUGGAUUACAGGCGUCAACUUUAAUUUCAAAGACCAAUGGUGUAUCCAGGGAAGGUGCAGGCUUCGCUUGCCACAGAUUGGCAGCGGGGCCCUGAUAAGGACCCAGCGGCGUUGUUCGCAUUCACCACAGGGGCCUAUUGAUCUCCGAGCCACUCGUUCAUUUCAUAAAAUACAAGGCGAACGGUGUUGGAGCGACAGCGUGGCUCCCUAUUCACCAGGCGCGCUGCGUCCCGUGCCAAGUUGUCUCGGCUCUGUGCUGUGGCGAACAGGAAACGCACCGCAGGAAGACAGGGUAUUUGUCAGGAGUCAUUAAGAAAGGAGGCAACGGUUCAAGCUUUUUUUUCUUCCUUUUUUACUCACAGAAUACAGAGCUUUAGCGUAAAGAUGCUCUCUAUUCACAACAAAGUCGAGCCAGGCUGAAACAAAAAAGUUUUUAUUUUGAAAAUUCUUCCAGCUUCCACCGGCCGGUCAAACCGAAGCUGAGCUGCCGUUCAGGGCAUCAUCCAAGCUCGCGUCCAUAUCAAUAUCUCGAGCUCUUUUUCAUAUUGAAAUGUCUCCCUGUGCUUUUUCUUUCCAGUCCAAAUUUAUGAAAAGCAUAAUCACAACAUGAGGGCCCUCUUAUUUUAUUAUCAGUGGGUGUUAUUAUUAGGAAACCAUUUCAAAUGAUAUGUCACAUGGGAACAAAUAUCAUUUACAAACCACUAAUGACUUGCAAACACUCCUCUACCCUCCGGUGCAGAAUGACGCCUUCACACAGUGUGCGCUCGCCUCGCCUCUCUACGGGGACGUUGCAGUGGGACGCUGCGCGCUCUGCAACAGAAUAAACAGGAAGACCUCUUUCUUUCGGCUCAGGCCGUGCACUGGCAGUAACACAUUAAUUCUUAAAAAACAGCCCAUUUAAACCUGUCAUUACCACAGCCAUCUAAUGGUUUUUAGGUGUGUGUUUGUUGCAAAAAUUCAAAUGAGACACUAAAAUAUGUACAUAUUCUUUGUGCAGAGAUGGAUUAGGUUUUGAGUAUUAAUAAUUAAGCAGGCAUUUUUUAUUAUUACACUUUGCAUCUUCGGCAUGGAUCGAGCUCACCUCACUGCUGGACUGCUAAUAAUGACUCAUCAAUAAAACAUUCUCCUAAUGUCAGAGAGACACUUGUGUAGACGCACGGUCUAAUUUUACACAGGCCGACUUGGUCAUUAGUUCACUAUGGCGUGAAUGCCUCGCCAUGCAAAACACAGAGGAGGUUGCAGAGGUGGCCUGAUGUGGCCUGACAGUCGGUGCAUCAAGCCGCUCCUUCAUUAAUGUUAAUCGUCUUGAUGUUGAUGCGAAUAACCAAAUCGAGGCACCUAUAUGCAAAUAUUUAAAGCAUUUUACUUUUUAAUGCAAAAGGUGUUUUUUUGUUUCGGGCACCCAUCAUUUGCAUAGUAAUUGUGUCUAUUGUGCCACUUUCUUUAACCUCAGACCGGGCUGGAUGAGCACUGGAGAGUCACCUGUGCUUGAAGCAGCAUGCAAAAAGAGUGAUAAAGAGUGCUGCUGCUCACAUGGGGGUGGGAGUAGCUAUAUAGAUGUGUAUAAACAAUCGUAUUUAAACUCCAUGUGAAAGUUUCCCCUCUUUAAAUCGGAAAAUCACGCCGGCUGUUGGAGUCAAAAGCUUCCAAAAAUCGUCACCAAGCUGUAAUGAGAAACUAAGAAAAGCGGCGACCGGAGGGAGAGAGAGCCGUCUUUAUUGCCACCCAGACAUAAUAACUUAAUGCAAAUUGUAACUAGUUAAGCACAGCAAAAUAAUAUGAUACCAUUGUCUGCGGCAGAUUGGUAUUAUAAUGUUAGCAUGUGCAAAUAAUCACAUUUUCUGGCUGAUACAAUUACAUUAUUUGUUCUGGUUGUAUCAUACACCAAUAAAAGCAAACAUCAUAUUAGGAUUCAUGGCACUUUUCGCAUUGCGUUAUCAAUAUGUGGAAAUAAUUGUCUGCUGAGAGAUUAAAUUACAUUAUUGUGUAUCUUUUUCAUGCCUAAUAAAUAAUGAUGGAUGGCUCUUAUUUUCAUCACCACCUGCAACCGUUUUGUCUCCACCCCCCCACUCCCCUCCACCCACCCUGCAAGUUAAAAAAUGAGAGAAUAAAUAAAGAAAUAAAAGGGGAGAGAGCGAAGAACCUCGAGCUAUAUGAGCCCGGAGGUGCUCCUCGCUGAAGUUUCAGCGUCUGAUCGAGGCAGUAGGUGUGUGUGUGUGUGUGUGUGUGUGUGGAGGGGGGGGGCUGCAAAGUAUAAGCUAGAUAGACACUCUAAAUGUCAACAUGCCACUGUUUAUUCAUUGAUUCAUCUUGUGACAGGCGCACACUUACAGAUGAUGAAUAAGUGAUUGAUGAGGAAAAUGGCUUUAUGCAUGUGAAGCAUGUUUCAAAACAAACUUAAACCUGCCCAGCUAUAUAUUUUAACUCUUUAUUAUCUUCAUGUUGAGUGUCUGAGCCCAUCGCUAGCUCCUCAGUAAUGGUCUUCAUAACAGUUUCAGCUGCACACAACAUAUAAAAGAACUCUAUGGGCUCCAAGUCAUGGCUGCUGCUGCUGAAUACCCCAACGCUUAAUCCCAGGUCACUGAUUAUUAGCUUUUUACUUUGUUUGUUGUAUGUUAAAAUACAGGGUUGAGGUUGGGGAGCUAACUGCAGACUUAACAGGAUCGAAGAAGUAUACGUACGGUGAUGUGCAUACAACAUAUAUAAUUUACUUCAGUCAAUACUUGAAAAAAAUUUCAAUUAGCAUGAGUGCGUGAGGAGCACACAUCCGUCACUAAAAGCAUAACUGCCUUAAAGAUGAAAGAGCACUUAUGGAAAGUUGACACUUCACUUAAGGUUUUUUUUCUGACAAAUUAAGUUUUGUGAAUUAAAAAAAAAGUACAUUUGAAAAGGCUGUGGAGAAAUCCUUAUUUCUUGGUGCGGGAGGUUAAACAUGAGCAUUAUUUGUCAAAAUGCCUGGUUCAGUAAUUCAUCUGAUAAUAAUAAUUAACGUAAAGUUAAAACAGCCAGCUGAUAGAUUACUGAAGAUCUACCAAAGUUAACUCGUCCAGUAAGGCCAAAUGAUUCUGUUCUUCUUUUUAAGUCAAUAAACCCAAUACGUGUGUUGUGAAAUAAAUAAACAAACAUGUGAGAAGAGUUUACUCUUUGGUUUUUAAAGGAAGAUAUUUGAGUAUAUGCAUUCCAACAUACAAUAAACAUCCACAUAUCACCCCGACUGAACCUCAGAGAUGUUUUCCAGCCUUGACGGAGAGAUAAAGCUGCACGUCCAGCAGCUGGCUGUGUGGCCUGAUUCACUUUCACUCCUUUCUUCAGCAUAAACUUAAUUUUAAUCACUUCAUUUGCAUUUUGAGAGAGAUAAGAGAAUUGAUUAACCACCAAUCUUCAGGAGGCUUCCUGUUUGAUGCACUCUUUCGUUUUUCCGUCCAGGCCUCCAAUCUCAGCUGUCAAUAUCUGAAAAUCCUGUUGCAUGCAAUGCGUUUGCUGGCGCGCUGUUAUGC